GCUGGACUUGGUGCAGCCCAGCCUCCGACUACCGAUGCUCUUGGACAGCUGUCUGAAUAUGCCAGAUAUCUUUAUACUUCACAGCUGCAACAUUUGUAGGAUAUUGCUGGUACUUUGGCGACUGAAGCAGCGGAAGACUCUGCUCAAGUAGCUAAGCUAAGUUCAACUCUUGAAUAUUGUUGAUCACAAGAGAAGAAAGAUUUUACAACAAAUGAAAAACGACGCGGAGAUGUUAAAUUUAGAAAGUGGUGUUGCACCUAUUCGGAAUCCUUCCACUGUUGUUGAAGAUGCAAGGCUAGCGUCGUUAAUCUCCCUCGACAGCAUACUGAAGCAAGUCAAGGGUUUUCAUCUUUCUCCAAUUUCUCCUCUUUUAACUUUCUGACAGAUGUCGUCUCAGAUGCUUCAAAUUUUUGGUCAUUCAUCAUGAAGUGUGUUUAUAGUGUUUG